rnacentral:rRNA from 1 species
CAGUCGCCGCGGGAAUACGUACGUGGCAAGCGUUGUCCGGAAUUAUUGGGCGUAAAGCGCGCGCAGGUGGUUUAAUAAGUCUGAUGUGAAAGCCCACGGCUCAACCGUGGAGGGUCAUUGGAAACUGUUAAACUUGAGUGCAGGAGAGAAAAGUGGAAUUCCCAGUGUAGCGGUGAAAUGCGUAGAGAUUAGGAGGAACACCAGUGGCGAAGGCGGCUUUUUGGCCUGUAACUGACACUGAGGCGCGAAAGCGUGGGGAGCAACCAGGAUUAGAUACCCGCGUAGUCCCUGUCUCUUAUAC